rnacentral:ncRNA from 2 species
CAGCAAUAGCAAGCGCCAGAGCUUGAUCUUGCGCGGGGGAGAAGGGACAGUAAAUGCCGGAUUGGCGGCAGGCUGGAACGGAUCACGGCAGAUGUAAGCUGACGAGGUGGAGGUGUUCGAAAUGUUCGGCGGGGACCUCCCGGUGAUACACCAGAGCCGUAAAUAUAAGCGGAAAAUGUCAGGGCGACCUUUCACACAACGCUUGUAUGGGUGUACGA